CAGGAUGAACGCUAGCGGCAGGCUUAACACAUGCAAGUCGAGGGGCAUCGGGAGUAGCAAUACUGCCGGCGACCGGCGCAAGGGUGCGUAACGCGUGAGCAACAUGCCCGUAUCAGGGGGGAUAAUCCAUGGAAACGUGGUCUAAUACCCCAUAGUAAUUAUGUAAGGCAUCUUAUAUAAUUUAAAGCUUUGGUGGAUACGGAUUGGCUCGCGUGACAUUAGCUGGAUGGUAAGGUAACGGCUUACCAUGGCUACGAUGUCUAGGGGUUCUGAGAGGAAGGUCCCCCCACACUGGAACUGAGACACGGUCCAGACUCCUACGGGAGGCAGCAGUGAGGAAUAUUGGACAAUGGAUGGAAAUCUGAUCCAGCCAUGCCGCGUGCAGGGAAAGACGGCCCUAUGGGUUGUAAACUGCUUUUGUAUGGGAGCAAUAAGGGCUACGUGUAGUCCGAUGAGAGUACCAUACGAAUAAGCACCGGCUAACUCCGUGCCAGCCGCAGC
rnacentral:rRNA from 1 species